CCUACGGGCGGCAGCAGUGGGGAAUAUUGCACAAUGGGCGCAAGCCUGAUGCAGCCAUGCCGCGUGUGUGAAGAAGGCCUUCGGGUUGUAAAGCACUUUCAGCGGGGAGGAAGGCGGUGAGGUUAAUAACCUCAUCGAUUGACGUUACCCGCAGAAGAAGCACCGGCUAACUCCGUGCCAGCAGCCGCGGUAAUACGGAGGGUGCAAGCGUUAAUCGGAAUUACUGGGCGUAAAGCGCACGCAGGCGGUCUGUCAAGUCGGAUGUGAAGUCCCCGGGCUCAACCUGGGAACUGCAUUCGAAACUGGCAGGCUAGAGUCUUGUAGAGGGGGGUAGAAUUCCAGGUGUAGCGGUGAAAUGCGUAGAGAUCUGGAGGAAUACCGGUGGCGAAGGCGGCCCCCUGGACAAAGACUGACGCUCAGGUGCGAAAGCGUGGGGAGCAAACAGGAUUAGAUACCCCGGUAGUC
rnacentral:rRNA from 1 species